CUCACUUUAGCUCAGCUGGAAGAGCAUGAGACUGUAAUUGGUUAUGCUGACUAAGCAAAUCUCAGGGUCGCCUGUUCGAGCCAGGCAAGUGAGA
rnacentral:tRNA from 1 species